UUUCCAGACUCCUACGGGAGGCAGCAGUGGGGAAUAUUGCACAAUGGGGGAAACCCUGAUGCAGCGACGCCGCGUGAGUGAAGAAGUAUCUCGGUACGUAAAGCUCUAUCAGCAGGGAAGAAAAUGACGGUACCUGACCAAGAAGCCCCGGCUAACUACGUGCCAGCAGCCGCGGUAAUACGUAGGGGGCAAGCGUUAUCCGGAUUUACUGGGUGUAAAGGGAACGUAGACGGCAGCGCAAGUCUGGAGUGAAAUGCCGGGGCCCAACCCCGGGACUGCAUUUGAAACUGUCAGGCUGGAGUGCAGGAGAGGUAAGUGGAAUUCCUAGUGUAGCGGUGAAAUGCGUAGAUAUUAGGAGGAACACCAGUGGCGAAGGCGGCUUACUGGACUGUAACUGACGUUGAGGCUCGAAAGCGUGGGGAGCAAACAGGAUUAGAUACCCCGGUACA
rnacentral:rRNA from 1 species